AGCGGCGAACGGGUGAGUAACAGGGAGGUGAUCUGCCCAUCAGACGGGGACAACGAUUGGAAACGAUCGCUAAUACCGGAUAGGACGAAAGUUUAAAGGUGCUUCUGGCACCGCUGAUGGAUGAGCCUGCGGCGCAUUAGCUAGUUGGUAGGGUAAAGGCCUACCAAGGCGACGAUGCGUAGCCGACCUGAGAGGGUGAACGGCCACACUGGGACUGAGACACGGCCCAGACUCCUACGGGAGGCAGCAGUAGGGAAUCUUCGGCAAUGGGCGAAAGCCUGACCGAGCAACGCCGCGUGAAUGAUGAAGGCCUUCGGGUUGUAAAAUUCUGUUAUAAGGGAAGAACGACUUUAGUAGGAAAUGGCUAGAGUGUGACGGUACCUUAUGAGAAAGCCACGGCUAACUACGUGCCAGCAGCCGCGGUAAUACGUAGGUGGCGAGCGUUAUCCGGAAUUAUUGGGCGUAAAGAGCGCGCAGGUGGUUGAUUAAGUCUGAUGUGAAAGCCCACGGCUUAACCGUGGAGGGUCAUUGGAAACUGGUCGACUUGAGUGCAGAAGAGGGAAGUGGAAUUCCAUGUGUAGCGGUGAAAUGCGUAGAGAUAUGGAGGAACACCAGUGGCGAAGGCGGCUUCCUGGUCUGUAACUGACACUGAGGCGCGAAAGCGUGGGGAGCAAACAGGAUUAGAUACCCUGGUAGUCCACGCCGUAAACGAUGAGUGCUAAGUGU
rnacentral:rRNA from 1 species